UAAAUAACAAUCGAUAUGUUGCUUUUGUGACAUUUCGGAGUUGGGUCAUCUUAAUCUUACUUUUUAAGGGACCUAAAAUUGAUGUUCUUGCGCAUCUUGACGUGUAUAAUUUUUUUUAUCUCGUCACUUGGAUGCUGGAUAUUAUUAGGUGUGACUAUGUUAAGUGGUUUCAUGCCUAUAAUGAUUCUUGAUU
rnacentral:misc_RNA from 1 species